AGUGAACGCUGGCGGCGUGCUUAACACAUGCAAGUCGAACGAGACGAUUGAAAGCUUGCUUUUGAAAGUCGAGUGGCAAACGGGUGAGUAACGCGUAGACAACCUGCCUUUGAGAUGGGGACAACAGUUCGAAAGGACUGCUAAUACCGAAUGUUGUAUAUUUUCCACAUGGAAGAUAUAUUAAAGAUGGCCUCUAUUUAUAAGCUAUCGCUCAAAGAUGGGUCUGCGUCUGAUUAGCUAGUUGGUGGGGUAACGGCCUACCAAGGCGACGAUCAGUAGCCGGUCUGAGAGGAUGAACGGCCACAUUGGGACUGAGACACGGCCCAGACUCCUACGGGAGGCAGCAGUGGGAAAUCUUCCACAAUGGACGAAAGUCUGAUGGAGCAACGCCGCGUGAGUGAAGAAGGGUUUCGGCUCGUAAAGCUCUGUUGUCGGGGACGAACGUGCCAUUUGCGAAUAGCAGGUGGUAAUGACGGUACCUGACGAGGAAGCCACGGCUAACUACGUGCCAGCCGCCGCCGUAA
rnacentral:rRNA from 1 species